UUUUUUUUUUUAGAAGUAGGGAAAAAUAAUUUUGUGUGUUGAUAGAAGUGAUGUUUAAAAUGAAAUGAUGAAGGGUGCAGGCGGGCAGGCAGGCAGCUUUUGUUGGGCUCUAGGGACGAGAAAGUGGGGGUGGACGGCGAUUCUGACCGAUUUUAAGCAAAUAAUUGUGAGUUGGCUGGCUAUUCAAGGAGUCUCACAUGAUAUUGAUAGCAGUGGCGAGUGGAAGGAAUUGCAGAGAUAUUACUAGCCUGUUAAUUCUUUUGUAAAUGCUGUUGCUGGCAUCAAAUGCUUUUGCUAACUGUAUUUCUGUCCAUCUCCAUCCGAAGUCCAAAUGCCCAUUAACUAAAUAACAAUGAAAAAGGAUUACUUUUUCCCGAUUUAGUGUGUUUUUUUUUUGGCUCCCUG
rnacentral:misc_RNA from 1 species